rnacentral:rRNA from 1 species
GAUGAACGCUGGCGGCGUGCCUAACACAUGCAAGUCGAGCGAUUCUCUUCGGAGAAGAGCGGCGGACGGGUGAGUAACGCGUGGGUAACCUGCCCUGUACACACGGAUAACAUACCGAAAGGUAUGCUAAUACGAGAUAAUAUACUUUUAUCGCAUGGUAGAAGUAUCAAAGCUUUUGCGGUACAGGAUGGACCCGCGUCUGAUUAGCUAGUUGGUAAGGUAACGGCUUACCAAGGCGACGAUCAGUAGCCGACCAGAGAGGGUGAUCGGCCACAUUGGAGCUGAGACACGGUCCAACCUCCUACGGGAGGCAGCAGUGAGGAAUAUUGCACAAUGGGCGAAAGCCUGAUGCAGCAACGCCGCGUGAGCGAUGAAGGCCUUCGGGUCGUAAAGCUCUGUCCUCAAGGAAGAUAAUGACGGUACUUGAGGAGGAAGCCCCGGCUAACUACGUGCCAGCCGCCGCCGUAA